UAGGGAAUCUUCCACAAUGGACGCAAGUCUGAUGGAGCAACGCCGCGUGAGUGAAGAAGGUUUUCGGAUCGUAAAGCUCUGUUGGUGGUGAAGAAGGAUAGAGGCAGUAACUGGUCUUUCUUUGACGGUAAUCAACCAGCAAGUCACGGCUAACUACGUGCCAGCAGCCGCGGUAAUAUGUAGGUGGCAAGCGUUGUCCGGUUUUAUUGGGCGUAAAGCGAGCGCAGGCGGAAUGAUAAGUCUGAUGUGGAAGCCCACGGCUCAACCCUGGAACUGCCUCGGAAACUGUCCUUCUUGAGUGCAGAAGAGGAGAGGGGAAUUCCAUGUGUAGCGGUGGAAUGCGUAGAUAUAUGGAAGGACACCAGUGGCGAAGGCGGCUCUCUGGUCUGCAACUGACGCUGAGGGUCGAAAGCAUGGGUAGCGAACAGG
rnacentral:rRNA from 1 species